AGGACGAACGCUUGCGGCGUGCCUAAGAAAUGCAAGUCGAACGAGAGCUUCGGCUCUAGUGGCGAACGGUCGCGUAACACGUGGGCAACCUGCCCUGAAGCGGGGGAUAACAGUCCGAAAGGAUUGCUAAUACCGCAUGUGGAUCCGGAAGGCAUCUUCCGUAUCUAAAGGCGAAAGUCACUUCAGGAUGGGCCCGCGGCCUAUCAGCUUGUUGGUGGGGUAACGGCCUACCAAGGCUUCGACGGGUAGCUGGUCUGAGAGGACGACCAGCCGGAUUGGGACUGAGAUACGGCCCAGACUCCUACGGGGGGCAGCAAUUAGGAUCUUGCGCAAUGGGCGAAAGCCUGACGCAGCGACGUCGCGUGAAGGAUGAAGUCUUUCGGGACGUAACUUCUUUAUCGAGGAAGAAAAAAUGACGGUACUCGAUGAAUAAGCCCGGCUAACUACGUGCCAGCAGCCGC
rnacentral:rRNA from 1 species